GACAGAGGGGGGCAAGCGUUGCUCGGAAUUACUGGGCGUAAAGGGCGCGUAGGCGGGAUGGCAAGUCGGUCGUGAAAUCCCUCGGCUCAACCGAGGAACGUCGAUCGAUACUGCUGUUCUUGAGGAUUGCAGAGGAGACUGGAAUUCCCGGUGUAGCGGUGAAAUGGUGUAGAGAUCGGGAGGAACACCGGUGGCGAAGGCGGGUCUCUGGGCAAUUCCUGACGCUGAGGCGCGAAAGCGUGGGGAGCAAACGGG
rnacentral:rRNA from 1 species